ACAGGGGAGGGGAGCACCCACUGCGGAGCCUUUGCCGCAGCGCCGGGCAGGCGUGGUCCCUGCCGCCGGGGGAGGAGGAGGAGGAGCAGGAUGCAGAGAAUGCACCACCUCUCACUGCCUUCCCUCCCCGGCUGCCAGCCUUUUUCCAAGCCUCUCCCCCCUUGCUAGAUUUCCCCAUCCUUGAAAAGGGUGCUGGGAGGUGUUUGCAAGGGUGGUGUGUUUGGUUUUUUUUUUUUGUGUUUUUUUUUUUUAUUUUUUUUUUUUGUUGCGGGCUUUUUUAAUUUUUUUUUUUCCCCUCCCCCUUUGCUAAAUAAAUUAAAAGCAGAGAUGUCUCCUGAAGGAGAUGGAUGAGGCUGGGCUCGCAGCAAUGGAGUUGCUCACUUGCACGCACUGCCGCAGCCUUGAUCUGGUGUAGCGAGGGCACUGAUGGCAGAAGUGACCCUUCCCAGGCGGAGGGUGGGAGGCUUCCCCCCCCUGCCCCGACAUGCUCCCGAUUGGAAUUAAUUUUAAAUAGCAGAGUUGUUAUUUUUUAUUUUCUUUCCCCCUUUCCCUUAAAGAACAGCUUGCUCUUUCAGUGGUGUUUUUUUUUCUUGGUAGCCUGUGAGUUGAAGCUUCCUCAUGAUCGUGGGUUGGUUUUGUUUUUUGUUUUGUUUUUUUUUUUUCCCCUGUGUGUGUGUGUGCGUGUGUGUUUUGAAUUGCAUUUUAAAAUUGCCCAGCUGGAGACAAGUCUUGAUUAGAUCUGGAACAAUAGCUCCAUUUUAUUAAUAAUGGGAAGGAUUUACAAUCCUACAGCACCUUCUUUGGAAGGCUUUCAAAAUCAUUUGCAAACACUCACAAAUUUAAGAUUUCACAGCCCUUGUCUGUGAGAUGGGGAAAUAGAGGCUUGUUUGUGUAACCCCUCUCCACAGCAGAUACCUUCUUUGGAUGUGUUGGUUUGGAGAUCUGCCUCAUGCUCAUCAGAGGCCUUCGCUGGCAUGGAGGUCUGGUGGACCAAGAAGCUGGCUGGGCUGGAUGUUUCCACAUUUUUCAGCCUGGAAGACCAAAGUCCUCUCUGUCUAGCUGGUGAAAUGUCCUGUGUUUGGGAAAAACCCUUGUGAGUUGAGCGGGUACAGCUCUUUGGUACAUGGUUGCACAGAAGUUGGGAGGCAAGAGGAAGCAGGGCAGAAGACAGAACUGUGAUAUUUCUGAUUUUUCCAAACAACAGGCAAAAAAAGUAAGGUAUUAAUUCUAAUAUAUCUACUACAUUGUAAGCAAGAGUAAGCUCUUUUGCAGUCUUGUGAUGGCACAUGGUGUUUUGGUUCCAUGGCUCAGCAGUUGCACUCUGCUGCAGAAGAAACGUCUGUGUUUGUAUAUUUUGAAAACAGAAGUGUGCUUUUAUAUAUGUACAAAUGGGUUCAGUGUAAACUGAAUUCCAGGGGGCUCCUGAGCUGUGUUUACUGUGCUGCAGAGGGUAACCAGUGCUAACCCACCAGCUACAGUGGCGGUAUUUUGUGGCAGCUCCCAUCCCUGGUACUGUGUGGAUAAGAACACCACCACCAUGAAGUCUAGCGGGGAAGAGCGUUAGAAAAUAAAUUACUGAAUACUGGCUUUCAAAAACAUGAAGGGAGUUUUCUGGACAAGGGCAUCUCAUUGUGAAGAUCUGGAGCACUAACCCUCGAAGAGGAAAGAACCGAAACCAACAGCUUUAUUAAUACAAAUCCUAUACUUUGCAUUGCUUAGGAUCCAGAACCAGGCUUCGUGUUCGAAGUGUUAUCAGUGUGUAAGCCAAUAUCCUCUGUCUUGGCAACAAAUGAGCCCAAAUAUCAAACAGCACCAGUUCCUUCUCGGAGAAAAUUAUCCAUUGCAUAAAACGUAAUGGGUAAGCAAUAAAAUUAGGCCAGUAAUUCAGGCUGGCUUAAAAAUGAGAUAAAAGCCUAGCUGGCAAUCUGAUAUUCGGCUGCCAUACAGUCAUUUUAAUAAAGAAAGUAAAUGAGCAGGAAAGGCACGUAAAUACAUUUUACAAUGACAAGAUGGUGGCUGGAGCUGCCUGGCUUGAACAAAGAAACACUCCGAGUGUCUCUGGUGGGGUCCAGAGGCUCCUGUCUGGGUCACCUACUGUUUUUCUGUAAAAAAAACAAAGCAAGCUGGAUGCGUACUGGACAGUGAUGAGGAUAAUCAUUGCGUGCUGCUAAUGCGACCACUCUAAUCCAUGCGAGUCCCCGGUCGACGUAGCUAGCCAGUGUCCCCAACUACGGGGAGAGGCGCAAUGCCUCCCUUCCCCACCUCCAGCUGUGCUGCUGUGAGCACAAAAUGCAGAGCUAGUGCUAAGCCAGAACCAAGUAUAGGAAGUUACAGUCUUAGCAAACAUAGCUCUGGUUGCCGUCCUUGUUCGGUAUCUAAUCUUUGCUUUUUUAAAUGUUUGGCAAGCAGUCCUGGCGACACGUGGCAGCGAGCAACACCACUUGUGUAAGACGCCUCAUUAAAAAUAGUCGAUGGCUUUGUUUGCAAUCUGUGGAUGUCCCUCCCGGCCAGCCUGCCUGCAAGAUGGCCGUGUGACAGCAGUGACCCUGCAUGAGGUUUCUUCUGAAGGACCUGGGAGCCGGCGUGGUUGUCUCCUGUCCCUUAGAGGUGCCGCCCUAGCAGGGAGGGUGGGGAGGAACGGUUGGAAAUCCUGUUGCAGCAAGCACGUUCCAUUGGAGAGGAGAGAGUUCGGCACUGAAAGCCGUUUGAUGCGUGGUUUGGGUUUCUUCCUCUCCGAAAUGGAUGCCUGUAGAGCCCGUUAAAGGUAUAGACACGUAGCAACUGCUCUUUGGGCUUCUGACCAGUUAAAACAGAAAACCAAGCCCAUUUCCACAGAAAAGAAACAUGCGGUGAAAAGUGCUGGUGGAGCGUGUUGGCAGUGCAUUUUCUUGUGUGCAUGUGGCUCUGUCACAUGUUUUAAAUAAUAGAUGGUUUGCAUGCAAA